rnacentral:tRNA from 1 species
GCGCGCGUAGCUCAGCUGGCUAGAGUAUCACAUUGACAUUGUGGGGGUCGCAGGUUCGAGUCCUGCCGUGCGCA